CAGUAGCCGCGGUAAUACGUAGGGUGCGAGCGUUAAUCGGAAUUACUGGGCGUAAAGCGUGCGCAGGCGGUUGUGUAAGACAGGUGUGAAAUCCCCGGGCUUAACCUGGGAACUGCGCUUGUGACUGCACAGCUAGAGUAUGGCAGAGGGGGGUGGAAUUCCACGUGUAGCAGUGAAAUGCGUAGAGAUGUAGAGGAACACCGAUGGCGAAGGCAGCCCCCUGGGCCAAUACUGACGCUCAUGCACGAAAGCGUGGGGAGCAAACAGGAUUAGAUACCCCUGUAGUCCCUGUCUCUUAUAC
rnacentral:rRNA from 1 species